rnacentral:misc_RNA from 1 species
GAUGAAGAACGCAGCGAAAUGCGAUAAGUAGUGUGAAUUGCAGAAUUCAGUGAAUCAUCGAAUCUUUGAACGCACAUUGCGCCCCUUGGUAUUCCAUGGGGCAUGCCUGUUCGAGCGUCAUUUGUACCCUCAAGCUAUGCUUGGUGUUGGGGAUCGGCCAAAGCCCGCGAGGGACGGCCGGCCCCUAAAUCUAGUGGCGGACCCGUCGUGGCCUCCUCUGCGAAGUAGUGAUAUUCCGCAUCGGAGAGCGAUGAGCCCCUGCCGUUAAACCCCCAACUUUCCAAGGUUGACCUCAGAUCAGGUAGGAAUACCCGCUGAACUUAAGCAUAUCAAUAAGCGGAGGA